rnacentral:rRNA from 1 species
AUGCGACCAAGGCACACAUUUCCUCUUGUCUUGGCCGCAACAAUGAUCAUUGCUCUGGGCAGCACUACCGUUCAAAGAUUCGAGAGGCUCGCGGAUGGUGCUGGUGAAUUUAUGAGAUAUGUGCAGCUCGGCGGGAAACCACGACAACACCUAUUCUUUAACCCUCUCAUUGGGCAUAUCUUUGCAGGGAAAUCACUGGUGUACCAUGUGUUGCACCGAGGAGGCCAAUUCCAUUUAUUCGGUAUAUGCUCAAUGGGCUUCGAGGAAAGAGGGCUAGAGGCCAUGGUAACCUUCAUAUAUCUAGAUUGCAAGGCGCCCAAGAACAAUUUCCGCCUCGGGUUCAUGCUGCGUGUUUCGGAGAGUAUAAACAUAGUCGGAACUAUAUUACAGUUCUUGCGACAGGUGACGCCUCACUUCAAGUCCACUGCCGAAAUUGUUAUCAACAAGAUCACGCAGCUCCCCUCACAAGAUUUCUUCUGUGUGCCACAAGAGAAAUUGAGACUUUCGGCCAUGUUUCCAGAGCCAGUCUGUCAAGUGUAUUUGCAGCGUCAAAUCUCAGUAUCUGAGUACAAUAAUCUUAUGAUGAGAUCAACCGCAGCAAUUGGCAAUGCGGACACAUCUACUUGUCUGGAGAACUUCCCACCUUUGAAGCUGGGGAUUCUAUUCAUGCCUCAUAACUCAUUGGAGGAUCCUGAGUCCUCAAUCGAGGGCUCUGCGAUAGAGGCAAAUCGAUGGAGAGAAGCAACACCUCACCCCUUUAAAUGUUCACUCAGACCAACUCGACGAGAUGCUUCUCCCGAAGGCGAUAGAUUAUCUUUAUCAUAA